rnacentral:rRNA from 1 species
GUCUACGGCCAUACCACGUUGAAAGCACCAGUUCUCGUCCGAUCACUGAAGUUAAGCAACGUCGGGCUCGGUUAGUACUUGGAUGGGUGACCGCCUGGGAACACCGAGUGCUGUGGACU